rnacentral:rRNA from 1 species
AAACCAACAGGGAUUGCCUUAGUAACGGCGAGUGAAGCGGCAAAAGCUCAAAUUUGAAAUCUGGCACCUUCGGUGUCCGAGUUGUAAUUUGAAGAAGGUAACUUUGGAGUUGGCUCUUGUCUAUGUUCCUUGGAACAGGACGUCACAGAGGGUGAGAAUCCCGUGCGAUGAGAUGCCCAAUUCUAUGUAAAGUGCUUUCGAAGAGUCGAGUUGUUUGGGAAUGCAGCUCUAAGUGGGUGGUAAAUUCCAUCUAAAGCUAAAUAUUGGCGAGAGACCGAUAGCGAACAAGUACAGUGAUGGAAAGAUGAAAAGAACUUUGAAAAGAGAGUGAAAAAGUACGUGAAAUUGUUGAAAGGGAAGGGCUUGAGAUCAGACUUGGUAUUUUGCGAUCCUUUCCUUCUUGGUUGGGUUCCUCGCAGCUUACUGGGCCAGCAUCGGUUUGGAUGGUAGGAUAAUGACUAAGGAAUGUGGCUCUACUUCGGUGGAGUGUUAUAGCCUUGGUUGAUACUGCCUGUCUAGACCGAGGACUGCGUCUUUUGACUAGGAUGUUGGCAUAAUGAUCUUAAGCCACCCG